AACGGCCAUACCAUGCUGAAUAUACCGGUUCUCGUUAGAUCACCGAAGUGCGGUCAGUACUUGAGUGGGUGACCACCUGGGAACACCGCGUGCCGU